rnacentral:rRNA from 1 species
AUUGAACGCUGGCGGCAGGCCUAACACAUGCAAGUCGAGCGGAGCGGCGGACGGGUGAGUAAUGCCUAGGAAUCUGCCUGGUCGUGGGGGAUAACGUCCGGAAACGGGCGCUAAUACCGCAUACUAUCAGAUGAGUCUAGGUCGGAUGAGUGAGUUGGUGGGGUAAAGGCCUACCAGGCCGACGAUCCUUCACUGGUCUUAGAGGAUGAGCAGUCACACUGUAACUGAGACACGGUCCAGACUCCUACGGGAGGCAGCAGUGGGGAAUAUUGGACAAUGGGCGAAAGCCUGAUGCAGCCAUGCAGCGUGUGUGAAGAAGGUCUUCGGAUUGUAAAGCACUUUAAGUUGGGAGGCGUUACCAACAGAAUAAGCACCGGCUAACUUCGUGCCAGCAGCCGCGGUAAUUC